GUAUAUUCUAAUACUGUUUUUUAUGCAUACAGUAGCUCAUUAGUUAUCUGAAUAUGAAAGAGGGCUAUACCAAGCUAAUAAUCCAUUUUAAAACUGAGAUCUAUGCAAGACCAGUUAUUCACUAGUCAUAUGUAUUCCAUGUACUAAUUUUCACUUGGUGGAAAUAUAUUCCAACCUAUCUUUCACUGCUAUUUCAAUAAGCUACUUUCUGAUAUUUUGUCAC